rnacentral:rRNA from 1 species
AGCAGCCGCGGUAAUUCCAGCUCCAAUAGCGUAUAUUAAAGUUGUUGCAGUUAAAAAGCUCGUAGUUGAAUUUUGGAUUCUACCAAUUGGUCCAUCUUUUAGAUGAGUACUGGUUGUGUGGGGUCUAUCCGCCUGGUGAUACGUAAUGUCCUUUAUUGGAUGUUGCGGGUAGUCAGGACCUUUACCUUGAAAAAAUUGAGUGUUUAAAGCAGGCUUAUGCCGGAAUACAUUAGCAUGGGAUAAUAGAAUAGGACGAAGUUGUUUUAUUUGUUGGUUUCUAGGACAACCGUAAUGAUUAAUAGGGAUAGUUGGGGGCAUUAGUAUUCAAUUGUCAGAGGUGAAAUUCUUGGAUUUAUGAAGACUAACUACUG